CGAACGGGUGAGUAACACGUGGGUGAUCUGCCCUGCACUUCGGGAUAAGCUUGUGAAACUUGGUCUAAUACCGGAUAGGAGCCAUCUUUAGUGUGGUGGUUGGAAAGUUUUUUCGGUGUAGGAUGAGCUCGCGGCCUAUCAGCUUGUUGGUGGGGUAAUGGCCUACCAAGGCGGCGACGGGCAGCCGGCCUGAGAUAGUGUACGGCCACAUUGUGACUGAGAUACGGCCCAG
rnacentral:rRNA from 1 species